UGGGGAAUAUUGCACAAUGGGCGCAAGCCUGAUGCAGCAACGCCGCGUGAACGAUGAAGGUCUUCGGAUCGUAAAGUUCUGUUGCAGGGGAAGAUAAUGACGGUACCCUGUGAGGAAGCCCCGGCUAACUACGUGCCAGCAGCCGCGGUAAUACGUAGGGGGCUAGCGUUAUCCGGAUUUACUGGGCGUAAAGGGUGCGUAGGUGGUCUUUCAAGUCGGUGGUUAAAGGCUACGGCUCAACCGUAGUUAGCCUCCGAAACUGGAAGACUUGAGUGCAGGAGAGGAAAGUGGAAUUCCCAGUGUAGCGGUGAAAUGCGUAGAUAUUGGGAGGAACACCAGUAGCGAAGGCGGCUUGCUGGACUGCAACUGACACUGAGGCACGAAAGCGUGGGUAGCAAACAGG
rnacentral:rRNA from 1 species